UACGGGGGGGGUAAGCGUUGUUCGGAAUUACUGGGCGUAAAGGGCUCGUAGGCGGCCAACUAAGUCGGACGUGAAAUCCCUCAGCUUAACUGGGGAACUGCGUCCGAUACUGGAUGGCUUGGAUUUGGGAGAGGGAUGCGGAAUUCCAGGUGUAGCGGUGAAAUGCGUAGAGAUCAUGAGGAAGACCAGUGGCGAAGGCGGGUCUCUGGACAGUUCCUGACACUGAGACACGAAGGCCAGGGGAGCAAACGGG
rnacentral:rRNA from 1 species